UACGUAGGGUGCAAGCGUUGUCCGGAAUUGUUGGGCGUAAAGAGCGUGUAGGCGGCCCGGUUAGUCCGCUGUGAAAGUCCAGGGCUCAACCCUGGAAUGCCGGUGGAUACUGUCGGGCUAGAGUCCGGAAGGGGCGAGUGGAAUUCCUGGUGUAGCGGUGAAAUGCACAGAUAUCAGGAGGAACACCGGUGGCGAAGGCGGAUCUCUGGGCCAUUACUGACGCUGAGGAGCGAAAGCGUGGGGAGCGAACAGG
rnacentral:misc_RNA from 1 species